rnacentral:rRNA from 1 species
GACGAACGCUGGCGGCAUGCUUUACACAUGCAAGUCGAACGGUAACAGGCCUUCGGGCGCUGACGAGUGGCGAACGGGUGAGUAAUGCAUCGGAACGUGCCCAGUCGUGGGGGAUAACGCAGCGAAAGCUGUGCUAAUACCGCAUACGAUCUGCGGAUGAAAGCGGGGGACCUUCGGGCCUCGCGCGAUUGGAGCGGCCGAUGUCAGAUUAGGUAGUUGGUGGGGUAAAGGCGCACCAAGCCAACGAUCUGUAGCUGGUCUGAGAGGAAGACCAGCCACACUUGGACUGAGACACGGCCCAGACUCCUACGGGAGGCAGCAGUGGGGAAUUUUGGACAAUGGGCGCAAGCCUGAUCCGGCAAUGCCGCGUGCAGGAUGAAGGCCUUCGGGUUGUAAACUGCUUUUGUACGGAGCGAAACGGUCUGCCCUAAUACGGUGGGCUAAUGACGGUACCGUAAGAAUAAGCACCGGCUAACUACGUGCCAGCCGCCGCCGUAAAAC